CAUUUACUCAGUGAGUGGAAGAGGUUUGUUUGAAACAGACCGCAAUGGAGAGACCAGCGCCCAGGGAAGCGAGGGAGCAGCAGACUCCUUGCGGCAGCGCAUCGAGAUGAAAACACUUGCAGGAACAAGACAAUGUUAUGUGUGCUUGGUACGAAGCCAAGGAUGACCAGCUCCUUCGAACAACCAACAGAAAAAAACACUUGAAGGACCAAGACAAAGUAAGAUUUCUUCAGUGCAGAGGCAAGUGUGAGCAGAUCCUUCUGAUAAACAGCAGGGAUGUUCCCACUGUCAGAGCAGAGAACAUCCUUUCCGCAGUCACAGAGCAGAUUGAGUCAGACACACAGUGAGCUUAAUUUCCAACAGAUAUGUUCAAAUUUUACCAACAGGAGAACAAGGUUGGAGAAAUUAAACUUUAUUUUUCUUAUCUCUCCAUUCCACAUACACAGUUCCAACAAAUUUCAGCAUUCAUCACCCAUUGACUUUUACACUAUUUUUGAAGAUGGAUGAACUGAAAUUAUACACUCAGUAUCUGAAUGAAAUCGAUGUAAAAUUACUCUACUAGCAAUUAUCACAUAAUGAAUCACACCUCCACUAAGAAUAUUACUGGCUGCUGACAAUUAAGCCACUUUUACAAGUAGAAAAUGACCAGUAUGGAUUGAUGCCUAACCUCACUCAUUUGUAUUGCAAAUGCAUACAAAAGAGAAAGGAUGACGAGACUCACAUAUUGACAUUGCAGAAACCGACAGCUAAAGAUUAAUAAAGAUAUUCACACAUUCACAUCAUAGAAACUGGGAUACACAGGUUAGUAAACAACACUCACAUUCACAUAGCAAACUGACAGCAACUGAACGAUAACUACUUUCACAUAUCCACACAGCAGAAACUGGCAGCUACAUAUUGAUGACAACUCCCAAUUUCACAGACCAUAAAGUGACAGGUACAGUUUUAUAACUGCAUACCCACAGACUUAAAAAAUACCGACGGGUACAGUUUGAUAACUAUACUCAAAUAUUCACAAAGUAGAUUCCCACAGGUACAUAUUGAUAACUUUACUUGCAAAUUAUGAGGUACUGAUAGGUACAGGUUGCUCUACAUGCACAUAUCCAUGCAGAAGAAAUUGAUAGGAACUGAUUGACGAUCACUUUAGAGAUAGCAAGAGCUGCAGAUUCUGGAGUCAGCCUUCCCAGUUUCACAAAGCAUUAGCUGACAGAUACAGUUUGGUAACUACUCUCAUAUUCACAGAGUAGAAGCUGACAGGCCGUUAUUGAUAACUGCACUCACAUGGUCACCAAGCAGAAACUCAGAGAUUGAUAAC